rnacentral:rRNA from 1 species
CCUACGGGAGGCUGCAGUGAGGAAUAUUGGUCAAUGGCCGGAAGGCUGAACCAGCCAUGCCGCGUGAAGGUCAGUGCCCUAUGGGCGUUAAACUUCUUUUGUGCGGGAGCAAUAAUGGUCACGUGUGGCCAGACGAGAGUACCGUACGAAUAAGCAUCGGCUAACUCCGUGCCAGCAGCCGCGGUAAUACGGGGGAUGCAAGCGUUAUCCGGAUUUAUUGGGUUUAAAGGGUGCGUAGGCUGUGAGGUAAGUCAGCGGGGAAAUGCCCCCGCUCAACGGGGUGAAGUGCCAUUGAUACUGCCUUGCUGGAAUGCGGAUGCCGUGGGAGGAAGGUGUGGUGUAGCGGUGAAAUGCAUAGAGAUCACACAGAACACCGAUUGCGAAGGCAUCUCACGAAUCCGCGAUUGACGCUGAUGCACGAAAGCGUGGGUAUCAAACAGGAUUAGAUACCCCUGUAGUC